GAUGAACGCUCGCGGCAGGCUUAAUACAUGCAAGUCGUGGGGCAGCAGGACUGUAGCAAUCCAGUUGCUGGCGACCGGCAAACGGGUGCGGAACACGUACGCAACUUACCCUGUACUGGGGGAUAGCCCGGGGAAACCCGGAUUAAUACCCCGUAAUAUAAUGGAGUGGCAUCACUUUAUUAUUAAAGCUCCGGCGGUUCGGGAUGGGCGUGCGGCUGAUUAGGUAGUUGGUUGAGGUAACGGCUCACCAAGCCUACGAUCAGUAACUGCCGUGAGAGCACGACAAGUCACACGUGCACUGAGACACGGGCCCGACUCCUACGGGAGGCAGCAGUAAGGAAUAUUGGGCAAUGGAGGCAACUCUGACCCAGCCAUGCCGCGUGGAGAAUGAAGGCCCUCUGAGUUGUAAACUUCUUUUAUAGGGGACGAAACCUGUGUAUUCUUACGCAGUUGACGGUACCCUAGGAAUAAGCACCGGCUAACUCCGUG
rnacentral:rRNA from 1 species